GAUUGAAGUUAAGAGCGUUAACCUAGCUUUAACGUUUUUCUCAGUCAAACCUCAAAUGAGGGGAAAUCGGAUCGAAUUUACCUGAAGCAAGAAAACAAAUUUAGAAAAAUCAUGAAUCAAUUAUGCAGCCAUAUUUCUUCUUCUCUCUCUGGAGCAAAGGCAUGAAUCCUACCCAUCCCAAUUCGUCGAGUGUCCAUAUAGAGGGAGAACCCAUAGCCAUGGUUUUACAGCAGAGCUCAAUUUUCAUUAGUUUAAUCUGAAUGUGGAUCUUAAUCUAGAAAAGCACUACCCAAUUUGCCUCGCAACGAUGACUACUCGUCGUGGUCCUUGAUAAGAUUCCGCAAGGCUCUGGGACCCAAUUGAUGAGUCUGCAACCUCCAAUUCAUCAAUCUUCAAUGCAAACACGUCAAACAAUGUAGGCGGUGACGAGUUGGGGGAGCUUCCUUUUUAUUAGAAAGGCCUUCACUUCAUCUUCAAGAAGGAUUCUUCAUCUUUGUUACAACCAAGAAUACCACACCAAAAGUCAGAGAGUGAAGAUUAUAGCAUGUACUCAAGGCGGGCUUUCUUAAUUACAAGGUGAAGAUGAAGUAACUACCAGCCUCUUCUACCUUGUUUGAUGUAAAGCAGUCCACCUCAAUCUUCAAGUAAAAUGUUAAGCACACAUGAGAAAUCAACUUGAAGAAGAGUCUGCCUCUGCCACCAACACCUUGCAGCAAAGAGGCACCUGCCAAGACUGGCAUGCAACUCCUGCAGAUGUAUAUUACAAUUACAAUGCCCUCACUCUCAAAUAGGAAAGGUAGUUUCUAAACUUAUAACUAUGCUGCAAGUAAUCUUACUAUUUUUUAUUCUAGGAUGAUUGGAUUCUGUUAUAUUGUCUACCAUUUAUGGACCACAUUCU